rnacentral:ncRNA from 1 species
UGUCUUCAGGGCAGGGUGAAAUUCCCUACCGGCGGUAAAGCCCGCGAGCCAUAAUUAUGGCAUGAUUCGGUGAAACUCCGAAGCCGACAGUAUAGUCUGGAUGGAAGAAGAUA